rnacentral:rRNA from 1 species
UACAGAGGUCCCAAGCGUUGUUCGGAUUCAUUGGGCGUAAAGGGUGCGUAGGUGGCGCUGUAAGUCGGGUGUGAAAUUUCGGAGCUUAACUCCGAAACUGCAUUCGAUACUGCGGUGCUUGAGGACUGGAGAGGAGACUGGAAUUCAUGGUGUAGCAGUGAAAUGCGUAGAGAUCAUGAGGAAGACCAGUGGCGAAGGCGGGUCUCUGGACAGUUCCCUGACACUGAGACACGAAGGCCAGGGGAGCAAACGGG